ensembl:lincRNA
AAACUAAAAGGGGAUUUUCACUUGUGUGAAGUAACGAAGAACGUUUUAAAGCUCUAAAAAAAGCCAAACCGUCUACAACAAUGUUUGAUCAACAGCUUUCAAAGAGAACGGUGCAGAAUUUAAAGAAAUUUCAAGACUGGGGGGCGGUGCAGAAGGACAUCGAAGAUGUUCAAGCGUUGUUUUCAGCCACGAAGAUAGAAGCGCAGAGUAUGGGACCCUUGCAGGAGCAAACAGUGGAGAUGCAAGAGAAACUGAAGAAGGUGUUGCAGGACUUUAAAAGCUCUGUGAGCACCAUUGCGGAAGUGUCAUCGUCCUGUGAUGUACGUGGUACUAUAGAGAAAAUGGCACAGAACGUGGAAGCAGUGAAGGAAGAGUUCUUCCUCUACGAGUUCACUAUCAACACCAGCAUAAGCGAGAUGAAGAGGAAGAAGCAGGAACUGGAGGAGGAAAUCCAGGAGAAAAACGCCACCAUAAAGCAGAAGCAGCAGGUGAUGGAGCUCAAAGAGGAGCUGAAGAGAGAGACCGAAGAUGAGAAGCGGCAGGCGGAGAGCGACCGGCGCAGGUACGAGCAGCUGGCCGAGGAGCACGACCGCGAGCACGCCGUGGCCACCGCCGCCGCCGUCUCCACCUCGGUGGGCGGCGCCGUGGCCUCGGGUCUGCUGUUCUUCGUGCCGGUCGUCGGCCCUGUCCUGGCCGCGGCGACGCUGGCGGGGACGGUCACCGGGACAGCGGUGGCCUCGGUCAAGGCCGUGGAAUACCGGGACAAGAUGAAAGAGGCCGCAGAGAAAGAGAAAAGGACCAGAGACAAGAUCACCCGGCUGGCGUCCGACAUUCAGAAAAACAGGAACGCGAUUGAGGAGGAGACCAGGAAAAUCGCAGAGAUGCGCACGGAAAUAGCCACGUUCGAGAGAGUAACCCAAAAGCUGACGGAUUUCAAGAAGCGUCUCCACGGCGACGCUGGCCUCAGCCAGUUUGUGGAGGUGCUGGGCGAGUUCUUUGAGACCAUGCUAUUGGCACUGGGGAUUAUAAAACGGACAGAGGAAAUAUACCAUCGGACUUUAAAGAACCACAGUUCAAAGAGUAUGAUCAGUAAAAAAUUCCUUGAGAAAACAAAGGUAAGUGACAUCGCAUUUCAGUCCAGCUCCUCGUAACUUGUCUAAAGAUCAGCCUUCUGUAUUUCUCACGCCGAUUUGUGCUGCUGUUCAGACACAUGUGAGAUGUGUUGCUCACGGUCUCCCGAGACAAAACCAUGUUUUCCUGCAAAACAACAGACACAAGUGUGCCGAGCGAUCAGUGUGGCGAAUAGUCUACCGUCACAGGUCCUUCUGCUGCCUCACGGACUGGGGACACUGGUACACACACACUCCCAGGACAGGACACUGCUGGGCUGCUUUCUCCCAGUGCACUCCAGGUCAAAUAAGGAAACCGUUUUCGCUUUAAGUCACAAGAAGAAGACAAACGGGCAGGUCUGUGUCCUGAUCUCACAAUCUUCCUGAGGGCCACAACACCUCCGCCAUGUGGCUGUCCAUUCCCAUGGGCACGUCCCUUCCUGGCACAAGUACGGCGUCAGGGAGGGGCCAGCGGUAGGAAAAACAUCGAGGGAAGGAUGUACAAUUCGUGCGCACGAAAGAACGUUUUCUGUCUCUUUCCUCCGUUUUCUCUGUCUAGUCGCACGCACAUAGAAAGUUUCUAAAACGCCAGCGUUAUCCCCGGCUCCUGACAACGCUGUCAAACGCUAGCGAACACGUUACCGCGACUUCAUAGUCGUACAAUGAAGCCUACAGGAAGUGUCUGACGCUGCUGUAGAGGAGGGUGACGGAUAGAGAUGAUCAAGUUUUAUUUUGGUUUGGGGAUGAGUUACUCGGGCAGUGUAGCUACUGUACUCUUGAACUACUAGUGAGGACUGCACCUCUCUUUCACUGCUAGUGCCACACCUGUCCUAGCAGUCCUAGAAAACGUUAUUUCGUGCGCAAGAGUUAAAGAAAGCGAGGGAACCAUUUAGGUAUUCCGUGCGCACGAACUGUAAAAUCGUUCCCUCGAUAUCACUUUUUUUUCCCUACGGAUGGCCCCUCCCGGGCUCCGUACAAAAUCCGAGCUAUUUCGCCUUCUUGUUCCAUGACUGGGCUCGUGGUUGUCUUCCAGUACCGCAGGGACUGCCUGAAGACCUUCAUGAGAGAUAUUGAACAGCUGGAGCUGGUGAGAGAAACCAAACCAGCCCUCAAGUGAGCUCCGCCCUGCCGGACCCCCUCGGAUUCUCUCCCGGCGCGGCCCCACGCUGCUGUGCUUCAUGCUGACUCUCUGGCUCGCCUCCCCCCCCAGUGCAUCAGUAUGGGGGUGCGCCUGUAACCCCACUUAGCUCUCGUAACUGCCUGUGUGCCUGCAGGCUGGGCUCUCUCGUGUGUGUGUGUAUGUAUUUCCUGAGGUGUGUGUGUUUCCUGAGGCUUGACCACUGGCUGGGCUCGUGUGUGUGUGUGUGUGUGUGUGUGUGUGUGUGUGUGUAUUUCCUGAGGCUUGACCGCUAGCUGGGCUCGUGUGUGUGUGUUUCCUGAGGCUUGACCGCUAUCUGGGCUCUUUUGUGUGUGUGUGUGUGUGUGUGUGUGUGUGUGUUUCCUGAGGCUUGACCACUGGCUGGGCUCGUGUGUGUGUGUGUGUGUGUGUUUCCUGAGUGCCUGGUAUAUUACACAGCAGAGGAAGGGUCAUGUCUGUGAAACUGCUUGUUAUUGUCUUGUUGCUUUGAGCCCUUUUCAAUGCAGUUGUAUCGACAGCUGGGGAGGGAUGAAGGCAGCCGACGAGACUGGCACCUGAUCCUGCACCCCCUCCUCUUCCUCGCUCGUGUGUGGGUCACCCCAACGUUUUCCCUACGUUCCAUAACCACUACUACCGGCACACAGACCCCGCCGCUGUCAUCCCCCGCCAGUACCCCUCUACUGGCUGAGCUUUCGGAGACGCGUCGUCCUCUCCACUGCGGCGCUGAGGGGGUCCGAGGCGAAGGGCCGGGCCUGGCAGUCAGAGGCGGGAGGAAGUGCCUGUUUUCACCCCUCCUCUCCAGCUACUCUUCUCUCAGCUGUCAGUCGGACGAUAACGAGGUGCUCGAGGGUUUUUACUUUGUAAGGACAAUAAAGUGAAACUCUUCCUGGGGUGUCCCGUGUGACCUGAUUCCUGCGCAGAGGCUGAUCUGAAAAUGAAACAUUCUCCCCCUCCCCUGGAGAUGGACUGCGCCGUUACCCCCUGACCUUUCACCCUGGCAGCCUCUCCGCCUACUGCUCCCUAUGUAAAGGGGACGCCCCGAACUUCCCCUGCUCCCCCUUUCUCUCGCUGGUGAGCGGCAGCACCAUCUGGACACCCCCACACAAACUGGACACCCCAGCUUCCCUUCUCUGGACAUCGCAUGACGAUGACCCUCUCCCCCUGGUGUGAGUGAACAGCUCUCUCAAUUUUCAAUUCGAUUCCAGGUGCUUUAUUGGCAUGACCGGUGGGUACAAUCAGUGUUGCCAAAGUGAAUAAAAAUAAUGAAAUUCACAUGAAGCAGAACAAAAAAUAAAAGAAAAAAAAUCUACAUUUACAACAAAGACAUAUUAUAAAAUAUUGACAUAUACUGUAGACAGAUGGAACAUUACUGGGAGACAGACUCACUGUUCCUCAGGCUGGGACAGGUUAACUCCUCCCUCUCCCAGUAGGAUUGGGACCCGUUGUGAUUCUCUCUCUCUCUCAUGUGAGUGAACAGUUUAUUUGGAGUACGAAAACUCUCCUUUGUUGUACAAAUGCAGAAUUCACUUUUACGGUUUAUUAUGGAGCAAAGUACAAGUUAUGUUCCUGCUACACGUCUGCAUGAGACAGAGGUCACAGUUCGUGAGUCUACUGACGCUUCGGUCGCGCCUGUAUCACGCAAUUUCCAUGCUUGCGACAAACCAUCAUUCAACACCAUCUUGACUGCUGCCACCUAGUGGACAGUUCGUGAAACAGAGGACGCUUGAGAAUCUAAAUUCUCUCACUGCUUUAUCCAGUCCAGGGUCACUGGGGGAGACAGAGCCUAUCCCAGCAAGCACCAGGCGCAAUGUAGAGUAUAACUUGGACACCAGUCCAUCACACACUCCCGCUCACUCAAACUCACGGUCACUCACACACACACACACACUCACACCAGGGGCAAUUUCUCCGGAAGACAAUUAACCCCCCAGCAUGUCUCUGGACUGUGGCGGGAAACCGGAGCACCCGGAGGGGACUCUCACGAGCACGAUGAGAACAUACAGACUCCACACAGACAGCACCCCCGGAAUUGCACCCAGGGCGCCAGCGCAGGGCCCACCACUGCACCACCACGCCGCCUCGCAUUCGAACGGUACUGUAUGGUGAAGACCCAGCAGCCCUCAGGGGCCUGUCUGUGUGGAGUCUGCAUGAGCUCCC